UGGCGGACUGGUGAGUAACACGUAAGCAACCUACCUAUUAGAGGGGAAUAACAGUGAGAAAUCACUGCUAAAACCGCAUAUGCCGUGAAUAUCGCAUGAUAAAAACGGGAAAAGAGCAAUCUGCUAAUAGAUGGGCUUGCGUCUGAUUAGCUAGUUGGUGUGGUAAAGGCAUACCAAGGCAACGAUCAGUAGCCGGACUGAGAGGUUGAACGGCCACAUUGGGACUGAGAUACGGCCCAGACUCCUACGGGAGGCAGCAGUCGGGAAUAUUGCGCAAUGGAGGAAACUCUGACGCAGUGACGCCGCGUAUGGGAAGAAGGUUUUCGGAUUGUAAACCAUUUUAGACAAGGAAGAAACAAGACAGUACUUGUAGAAUAAGCUCCGGCUAACUACGUGCCAGCAGCCGCGGUAAUACGUAGGGAGCAAGCGUUAUCCGGAUUUAUUGGGUGUAAAGGGUGCGUAGACGGGAAGGUAAGUUAGUUGUGAAAUCCCUCGGCUCAACUGAGGAACUGCGACUAAAACUGCUUUUCUUGAGUGCUGGAGAGGAAAGUGGAAUUCCUAGUGUAGCGGUGAAAUGCGUAGAUAUUAGGAGGAACAC
rnacentral:rRNA from 1 species